rnacentral:rRNA from 1 species
GACGAACGCUGGCGGCGUGCUUAACACAUGCAAGUCGAGCGAAGAGCGAUGGAAGCUUGCUUCUAUCAAUCUUAGUGGCGAACGGGUGAGUAACGCGUAAUCAACCUGCCCUUCAGAGGGGGACGACAGUUGGAAACGACUGCUAAUACCGCAUACGAUCUAAUCUCGGCAUCGAGGAUAGAUGAAAGGUGGCCUCUACAUGUAAGCUAUCACUGAAGGAGGGGAUUGCGUCUGAUUAGCUAGUUGGAGGGGUAACGGCCCACCAAGGCGAUGAUCAGUAGCCGGUCUGAGAGGAUGAACGGCCACAUUGGGACUGAGACACGGCCCAGACUCCUACGGGAGGCAGCAGUGGGGAAUCUUCCGCAAUGGACGAAAGUCUGACGGAGCAACGCCGCGUGAGUGAUGACGGCCUUCGGGUUGUAAAGCUCUGUUAAUCGGGACGAAAGGCCUUCUUGCGAAUAGUGAGAAGGAUUGACGGUACCGGAAUAGAAAGCCACGGCUAACUACGUG